GGGCAGGUAGGAGACGUGGGUGAGGACAGAGACAAAGAGGAGCCAAUCCACCCCAGGCCAGUUUCACACUCGCCAGGGCAUUUACCCAUUGCCUUGACAGAGACUACUCAGGAGAGGAGGAACUUUUCAGGCCUGCUGCGACAUUAAACAGUUGGACUUGUUUGUCGUACAAGAUCAAAUUAAAGAGAGCAUGACAAGUUAGUGUGUGUCUUCUCUAAAGAAUAAGAAAGAACUGGUGCUUACGUUCUUGCCAGCACCACCCACUUGUCUACCCUGAAAGGUCCAAGUGCCAUUUCCCAAGGUGAGGGCAGCUCACAGGUGCUCUCCAGUCCUGGGAAUGGAGACGCGAUUUGCCUCACUGCUAACCACAGCUAACCAUGGCCACGCAUUUCAAGGGUGGAAAAGUACUCCACCAGCAUUCCUGAGUCUCCCUGUUCCCACGUCUCUGCGCGUCCUCCCACACCACACUCCCUGCAAGCUGGAUCCACUUGUAGUUUCCUCUGUUUGGAAUUGGAAAGCAAAUAUUCCCCUUGGU